rnacentral:rRNA from 1 species
GACGAACGCUGGCGGCGUGCUUAACACAUGCAAGUCGAACGGAAAGGCCCUGCUUUUGUGGGGUGCUCGAGUGGCGAACGGGUGAGUAACACGUGAGUAACCUGCCCUUGACUUUGGGAUAACUUCAGGAAACUGGGGCUAAUACCGGAUAGGAGCUCCUGCUGCAUGGUGGGGGUUGGAAAGUUUCGGCGGUUGGGGCUGGACUCGCGGCUUAUCAGCUUGUUGGUGGGGUAGUGGCUUACCAAGGCUUUGACGGGUAGCCGGCCUGAGAGGGUGACCGGCCACAUUGGGACUGAGAUACGGCCCAGACUCCUACGGGAGGCAGCAGUGGGGAAUAUUGCACAAUGGGCGGAAGCCUGAUGCAGCAACGCCGCGUGCGGGAUGACGGCCUUCGGGUUGUAAACCGCUUUCGCCUGUGACGAAGCGUGAGUGACGGUAACGGGUAAAGAAGCACCGGCUAACUACGUG